GUGGACCUGAGAGCUUGCUCUCUGGGUGGCGAGUGGCGGACGGGUGAGGAAUACAUCGGAAUCUACUUUUUCGUGGGGGAUAACGUAGGGAAACUUACGCUAAUACCGCAUACGACCUACGGGUGAAAGCAGGGGAUCUUCGGACCUUGCGCGAUUGAAUGAGCCGAUGUCGGAUUAGCUAGUUGGCGGGGUAAAGGCCCACCAAGGCGACGAUCCGUAGCUGGUCUGAGAGGAUGAUCAGCCACACUGGAACUGAGACACGGUCCAGACUCCUACGGGAGGCAGCAGUGGGGAAUAUUGGACAAUGGGCGCAAGCCUGAUCCAGCCAUACCGCGUGGGUGAAGAAGGCCUUCGGGUUGUAAAGCCCUUUUGUUGGGAAAGAAAUCCAGCUGGUUAAUACCCGGUUGGGAUGACGGUACCCAAAGAAUAAGCACCGGCUAACUUCGUGCCAGCAGCCGCGGUAAUACGAAGGGUGCAAGCGUUACUCGGAAUUACUGGGCGUAAAGCGUGCGUAGGUGGUCGUUUAAGUCCGUUGUGAAAGCCCUGGGCUCAACCUGGGAACUGCAGUGGAUACUGGGCGACUAGAAUGUGGUAGAGGGUAGCGGAAUUCCUGGUGUAGCAGUGAAAUGCGUAGAGAUCAGGAGGAACAU
rnacentral:rRNA from 1 species